AUUGAACGCUGGCGGCAGGCUUAACACAUGCAAGUCGAACGAGUGGCGGACGGGUGAGUAAUGCGUGGGAAUCUAGCCUAUGGAGGGGGAUAACUACGGGAAACUGUAGCUAAUACCGCGUACCAUAGGAUGAGCCCAACUGGGAUGAGGUAGUUGGUGGGGUAAAGGCUCACCAAGCCGACGAUCGCUAGCUGGUCUGAGAGGAUGACCAGCCACACUGGGACUGAGCAACGGCCAAGACUCCUACGGGAGGAAGCAGUGGGGAAUAUUGGGCAAUGGGGGAAACCUGACGCAGCCAUCCGGCGGGGAUGAGGAAGGCCUUCGGGUUUUAAAGUGCUUUCGGCAGGGAGGCGGUACCUACAGAAGAAGCACCGGCUAACUCCGUGCCAGCAGCCGCGGUAAUUC
rnacentral:rRNA from 1 species